rnacentral:rRNA from 1 species
GACGAACGCUGGCGGCGCGCCUAACACAUGCAAGUCGAACGAGCGCGAGGGAGCUUGCUUUCUCGAGCGAGUGGCGAACGGGUGAGUAACACGUGAGGAACCUGCCUCAAAGGGGGGGACAACAGUUGGAAACGACUGCUAAUACCGCAUAAGCCCACGGUGCCGCAUGGCACAGAGGGAAAAGGUGCAAGCCGCUUUGAGAUGGCCUCGCGUCCGAUUAGCUAGUUGGUGAGGUAAUGGCCCACCAAGGCGACGAUCGGUAGCCGGACUGAGAGGCUGAACGGCCACAUUGGGACUGAGACACGGCCCAGACUCCUACGGGAGGCAGCAGAGGGGAAUAUUGCACAAUGGGGGAAACCCUGAUGCAGCGACGCCGCGUGGAGGAAGAAGGUCUGCGGAUUGUAAACUCCUGUUGUUGGGGAAGAUAAUGACGGUACCCAACAAAGAAGUGACGGCUAACUACGUG